rnacentral:tRNA from 1 species
GGGCGUUUAGCUCAGACGCGCAGAGCGGCGGCCUCUUAAGCCGCAGGUCCGUGGUUCAAGUCCACGAACGCCCUCCA